AUGCACCUCUCGUAUCCUUCUGCCGCGCGCGCCGUCUACAUCCAGCCGGCGCCUGUUCGCUAUGCGGCGCUGGCC
rnacentral:sRNA from 2 species